GUCGAGCGGCAGCGACUUAACUGAACCUUCGGGGAACGUUAAGGGCGGCGAGCGGCGGACGGGUGAGUAAUGCCUGGGAAUAUGCCCUGAUGUGGGGGAUAACUAUUGGAAACGAUAGCUAAUACCGCAUAAUCUCUUCGGAGCAAAGAGGGGGACCUUCGGGCCUCUCGCGUCAGGAUUAGCCCAGGUGGGAUUAGCUUGUUGGUGAGGUAAUGGCUCACCAAGGCAACGAUCCCUAGCUGGUCUGAGAGGAUGAUCAGCCACACUGGAACUGAGACACGGUCCAGACUCCUACGGGAGGCAGCAGUGGGGAAUAUUGCACAAUGGGGGAAACCCUGAUGCAGCCAUGCCGCGUGUGUGAAGAAGGCCUUCGGGUUGUAAAGCACUUUCAGUAGGGAGGAAGGUAGUGUAGUUAACACCUGCAUUAUUUGACGUUACCUACAGAAGAAGCACCGGCUAACUCCGU
rnacentral:rRNA from 1 species